rnacentral:rRNA from 1 species
GUUAGGAAUAUUGGACAAUGGGCGAAAGCCUGAUCCAGCCAUGCCGCGUGAACGAUGAAGGCCUUCGGGUUGUAAAGUUCUUUAGCCGAUGAUUAUAAUGACUGUAGUCGGAAAAUAAGCCCCGGCUAACUUCGUGCCAGCAGCCGCGGUAAUACGAAGGGGGCGUGCGUUAUUCGGAAUCACUGGGCGUAAAGCGUGCGUAGGCGGUUUUGUAAGUUAGGAGUGAAAGCCCAGGGCUCAACCUUGGAAUUGCUCUUAAAACUGCAAGGCUCGAAUCUCGGAGAGGAUAGCGGAAUUUCCAGUGUAGCAGUGAAAUGCGUAGAUAUUGACAGGAACACCAGUGGCGUAAGCGGCUAUCUGGACCGAUAUUGACGCUGAGGCACGAAAGCGUGGGGAUCAAACAGGAUUAGAAACCCCGGUAGUCC